rnacentral:rRNA from 1 species
CCUUUUAGUGGGGGAUAACAUCUGGAAAGGAUGCUAAUACCGCAUACGCCCUGAGGGGGAAAGAUUUAUUGCUAAGAGGUCGGCCCGCGGUAGAUUAGGCAGUUGGUGGGGUAAAGGCCUACCAAACCUACGAUCUAUAGCUGGUCUGAGAGGACGAUCAGCCACAUUGGAACUGAGACACGGUCCAGACUCCUACGGGAGGCAGCAGUGAGGAAUAUUGGGCAAUGGAGGCAACUCUGACCCAGCCAUGCCGCGUGAGUGAGAAGGUUUUCGAAUUGUAAAGCUCUUUCGGGUGUGAAGAUGAUGACGGUAACACCAGAAGAAGCCCCGGCAAACUUCGUGCCAGCAGCCGCGGUAAUACGAAGGGGGCGAGCGUUGUUCGGAAUUACUGGGCGUAAAGGGUGUGUAGGCGGUUAAGUAAGAUAGUGGUGAAAUGCCGGGGCUCAACCUCGGAAUUGCCAUUAUGACUAUUUAGCUAGAAUGAUGCAGAGGAUAGCGGAAUACCCAGUGUAGAGGUGAAAUUCGUAGAUAUUGGGUAGAACACCAGAGGCGAAGGCGGCUAUCUGGGCAUUGAUUGACGCUGAGGCACGAAAGCAUGGGGAUCAAACAGGAUUAGAUACCCUGGUAGUCCAUGCUGUAAACGAUGAAUGCUAGUUGUUGGAGGAAUUCAGUGACGCAG